UUCACAUGUAACAAGCCUGAUUCAUGCGAGGCCGAAAGUAACAUUGAAGUUGUGUUGAUAACACUCUUACUACAUGGGGUGAUGUGUCAACAGCUUCUCAGACAGUC
rfam:Physcomitrella patens subsp. patens PHYPAscaffold_276 genomic scaffold, whole genome shotgun sequence.